CCGUUUCAUCUUUUUGUGCCCUUUCUUGAGACUCUAUUUCUUUUCUCCCAUGGCAGCUUUGAUUUUUUAGUUUCUUCCCUACAACAAACCCAACCACAACCUAAUCUAAUCGACCACCCACCCAAGUCCUUGUCUCUUUGUCUACUCUUCGGCACCCAUACCCUAAGAGAGUGUUUGGUUCGAGGAAAAAUUAUAUCACUGGUUGAAAUCACUACAAAAAUAUGUAAUUUUAAAGGUAUUUAUUUCUUGGGGGUUUGGGGAGCAGCCGGUGCUUUCCUAUAAUACUUUGUAUUUCUUUUGAGAAAAAUGAAACUGCCGCUAAACACAAAUGAUUUAGCACUAAUAGCCUCUAAUAAGAAAUAAAAACACCAUCCUUUCCCGAUGAUCUUUCUUCAAACCAAAUUUUUUCAGUCUCGCAUCUUUUACGUGAUUUUCUUUUUUUCACCUCUCUCUCUUUUUGUUCUUCUCCCGUCUUUAUUGAUUGAAAAAUUAGAAAAUCAUACCCUAACUUUUGAAAAUCAAAGUCGAAAUCAUCUCAAAUCAAUUUUCUCCCAUAAGAUUUGAAGCUAUUUCCCCAUUUUUUGAAAAUCAAACCCUAAUUUUUGAAAAUUACCAUUUUCACCAUCUUCUUCGUCAUCUCUACCACAAUUGAUUCAUCUUGUUAUUGGUAAAAUCAUUUCUUCAGUGAGAUAAUUUCACCAAAAUAAGUGAUGCAAAGCGACUAACAGCAUAAAUGAUGCUUCAUUUAUAAUUUUGGUUUUUAUGCAAGUCGAGUGCGUUAAUCACUAAGAAUGGUUGUUUAUAAUGUUUAGUCUACUGCUGUUUAUGCAAUUAUCAAGAUUAUUUGCCUCUGGACUCGAAGUAAACUGAAAGAUUUUCGUUGCAGAUCACAUAGCGUAUUCAAAUUUGUAUGGUCAUGAAUUGUUUUAUUUGAACGACAAUCUAGAUUAAAAGUCGGCAAUUUCUUUCAUUCUUGGGUUUCUAACGUACAACUGCUUCUUCAAUUUAGGUGUCCCACAAUAUUUUCUUUUCCCUUUUCUUUUUUCUUUUUGUAAUUUUAUGGGUUUAAUUCUAUGAACAUUUCAAUUAUGUUAUGAGAUUUUUUUUUUGUUUGAGGAAAUAGAUGGUAUUUUUUUUUAUUCUUUUCUCUGCUAUUAAUAGAUUAAAAAAAUUAGAAAAUCAUAACCCUAAUUUUUCCUGUUCUAACUCCGCGUUGUCAUUUUCUUUGUCAUCUCCCGACACCGCCAUAUUGGACAAUGGAUUUGUAUCCAAUUAAAACAAAUGUGUGAUGAAUUGAAACUUUAAUGGUAUUCCUAGCAUUGUGCCUUCAAUCAGUCAGCAUAUGCCUUGUUAGGCUGAGGAAAGAUAUUAAAAAGCGUGCGCUAUUUGCGAUAUUUUAUAGUUUUCAUUAAUAGUCAUUGCUAAUUUAGUAAUAUUUAGGUUGCAGCAAUUGUUACCCAACCACCUUCUAGAAGAGAUAGGGGCAGAAAUGU
rnacentral:lncRNA from 1 species